GUGUAUAUAAUGCAGAGUGUGUAGUGUGUGCAUUAUAUAUACACACUACACACUCUGCAUUAUAUACAA